UUUUACCUCUUUUAUUUUCUGCUUCUCUCACAGUUGAAGUGACCAGGUGUGCAAUAGAAGCAGAAGAAAUCCUACGGUGUGGCUUCUGGAAAAGCUCCUGGAAAGUAGACAGCACUUCUGGGACAAAUCUGGACCCCUUCCCAUUUCCUUGCAGAGCCCAUGGAUCCAAUGCCCACAUGUGACAGGCAUCUUGUGACCCUAUGCAAAAAACAGUGCAUUCACCAUGGCUGAGACGCCAGCCAGCUUUGACUUCCCACCUAGAGACAUUUCACUAAGAAAAAACAGAACCCCUAACUUUUUAGUUAGUGCUCCUGGACUUCUGCUACAGCACAAGUAGAUCUUUUGUGUUUUUAUAAUCAAAUGGAAAAAAUUAGCUAAAUAAUUUUGAAGGGGAUAAAAUCUCAAAUCUAUCCAGUUUCUUAAAAAAAAAAAAUAGUCAAGAUCUAUCCACAGCUAACUUAGCCUUGCCCUGGCUGGUGGAUAUGUGGUCUCCAGAUUAUCUCUAAAGCCCAAGGAUCAGGUCUUCCCUAACAGGGUCAGCCAAUGUAGAGGAAAAUGCACCCAUGGCAAAGUCACGCAAACUCAGAAUCUUGGCUCUUACUAGCUGGGCAGCCCUGUCUUGUCAAAAAUGGGAUUCUGUGAUCUGAAUAAAACUAAAGGAGUUGGUGAAUAAGCAGUACUAGGCACUGGGCCAGGCAUGCAGCAGGCACUUAGCAAAUCCACCUCUUUGCCCUUCCCUAAUGCUUCUUCCCUCUCAGGCAGUAAUCGGCUCAUCCAUUCUACAGUCCUCUCCCAUCCCCAGUGGAUGCCUGAAACUGGGCAUAGCACCAAAUCCUAUAUAUACUAUUUUUCCUAUAAUACCUAUCUAUGAUAAAGUUUAAUUUUUCAAUUAGGAACAAUAACAACAACAAUAAUAAAAUAGGAUAAUUAUAACAAUACACUACAAUAAAAGUAUAAGAAGGUAGUUUUUUUUCUAAAAUACUCCAUUGUAUUCCCCCUUCCUCUUCUUGUAAUGAUGUGAGAUGAUACUUAAAGGAAGCAUUUUAUAGUUUCUCUUUGGCAUAUCUGAAUUGCCAGCAUCUACUACUCUUGUAAUUUGGGGCCAGGAGUACAUUAAGGGUUACUUGAACACAAGCACUGAAAUACCACCACAGCAGUUGACCUACUGAUUGAGACAGCUACUAAGUGAGUAGUGGGUGGGUAGUGUCCACAACGUGGAAACAUCAGAAAAGUGACAGUUCACUUCAGGGUGGGUUGGAAUGAGCCAGCAUGAGAUUUCUUCAUGUUGCUCAGAAUGAUGCCCAAUUUAAAACUUAGGAAUUAUUUCUGGAAUUUUCCAUUUAACUUUUUCAGACUGUGUUUGACCACAGAAAACUGAAACCAUGAAAAGCAAAAUCACAGAUAAAGGGGAACUACUAUAUAUACAACACACUAUUUUGCAAGCAUACUGAGAUUUCAUUUGAUGAGAGUUUUGAUCAGAAUUCAAGUAGUACAAUAUAAAUAUAUUCUAACAUUAUAUGAAAUUUUGAAAUAAUGUGGGGGUUUUCUGUUAUGUUUACCCAGCACUGGCUACGAAGAGAAACAGGGUGAGCACAGGCAAGCUCAUUAAAGCCUCACUAUGAUCAGGUCAAAAAUGAGGAAGGGAUCCAGAGUGACAGGAAGAAAAAGCAGAUUUGGAGCAAACACAGCUGGUGAAGGGGAGCUGUGGGGACUGCCUGAGCUGGAACUCUGUCUUACUCACCAUUGUACACUGAAUCACCAUCAUGUAGGAUCUAGCACCUGACAGGUGCCCACAACAUACAAAUGAAUGAAUGAAUGAAUGGUGAAUGAGAAAAGCAUACUAUCAUUUACUGAUAAUACUGUAUGCUUGCUUGAGUUCAGUAAGUCCAAUUCUUUAUAUCCCUUAAACUAUUUUAAAAAUAGCUUUAUUGAGUAUAAUUAAUAUACAGAAAUCUAUGCAAUCUGAUAAGUUUUGAAACUUACUUUAUAUUUUGAAACUAUCACUACAAUCAAGAUAAAAACCAAUUUAUCGCUCCCCCACUGUUUCCUCACACCCCUUUGUAUUUUCCUCCUUUACUCAUCUUGACCUCCCUGCCUCAAUCACUGACCUUCUUUCUGUAAUUGCAUAUUAGUUUGCUCUUUCUGGAAUUCUCUGAAGAUGGAAAACAUGCCCCCCCCUUUUUUUGGUCUGGGUUCUUACACUCAGAAAUUUUCAGAUUAUUUUUUGGGUGCUUAUGUGUAUCCAUUCAUGUAACUAUUCAUCAGAACAUUUCUGUUGUUUCCAGUUCUGGCUCAUUAUUUUUAAAAAGUUACUUCAAAGUUUUGUGUACAAGUCUCUGUUUGCAUAGCCCUUUCCUAUUCCCUCACAGCCAUUUCCUAUUUUCACAUGUUUAAAACUUAGAAGAGGAAUGACUGAAUCAUUUGUCUUCACUUUUUUUAAAACUGCAAACUAUUUUCCAAAAUAUUUACACUGUUACAUUCCCAACAACAGUGUAUGAGCUCCAGUGUUUUCAUAUCCUUGCCCACACUUGGUACAAUCUAACCUUUCUAAAGGCCUAAUCUUGCUCUGGAUUUAUUUACAUUUCCC
rnacentral:lncRNA from 1 species